GGCCCAGUGGUCUAGUAGUAUGAUACUCGCUUCGGGUGUGAGUGGUCCCGGGUUCAAUUCCCGGCUGGGCCC
rnacentral:tRNA from 1 species